AUGUGGCGCCACAAACCCGAUUUCAGUAAAGGAAAGUAAGAUUCCUACAUUCAAAAUAACGACUUAUCCUUUUAGUUGAAUUGGCGCUAUGGUCGGUGCAAAAUGAAAAUCCAUCCGUUGACAAAGCUUGCUUCAAGACGCACAAAUGGGCUCCUUUUGUCUCCCCUGCCACCCUUUGCGCAUUUAAAUGAAGAUAUCUUUAUCGAAAACAGGUUUUUUUCAGGACCUGGCUAGGAACAGAAUGGACAGGUCGACAGGUAAAGAUGCAGGAUCCUGUCUCGCGCGCCAUCAUGCAUUCACAGUUCGAUCAUUGGCUCAAGUUUGCACGUGUUGCCGUAACCACCGUCUCGUUGUCUUCCUACGCGGGAAAGGAACCAACUUUUCAUUCGUCGUGUCUCGCAGCUGUUCACCAAUCGCAACAACGUGGGCGAAAGCGACCUCACACUCAACGAAAACUUUAUAUUUUCGAAAGCGAUAUCUGACACAUUUGAUGAAGUGGGUCUGAAAGAAACGACAGGCUUAAACGGUUUCGAGUCGCUUCGACGAUGAAAGCAACACUCAUGGGAAUGAAGAACUCAUCGAAGAACUAUCUCGUGGACUAGAUGCUGUCGGCGAAUCUUGUUACACCGAAUGCCGCGGGAUAUGCAAUCGAGAGAGAUAUGCUUCUCUCGAUCCACUUAAAAUUUUUUGGACUCCGUUACUCUGGUUUUCUUGCGCUACUUGCAUCUAAAGGAUGCUCGCAUUACAGUACAUUCGCGUAGGGCACACUUACUUCUAAGAAUUUCCACUCGCUAAAGUAGAUCGUCGUAAUAAGAAACCAGUAACUUCCACUGUGACACAUAUUUUAUCUCAUAAAUAUGUUUAUUCAACGAUUUCAUUCGUGUUUAACGAAAAUUUUUCUACCGUCUUGUUUGUCCAUUCUAUCUCCAAAUAGAGUGUUUAUUCAAAUUAUCGUUGCAAUUAAACGCUAUUUACUUCUUGACAAGAUAAUUGUCAAUUAGGAAAAAAAGCAAUUUAUAAAACUUAUCCAAUUUUCAACGAGUGGACAAAUUAUCGAUCGACGUAAUUUAGCGAUCGAUCUUACUCGAUUUAUUAUUCCAAUUUCGAAUUAUCGUGUUUUGUAACAAAUCUUUGAACAAACAUCACGGUGUUAUCGAAUUUAGUGUACAGUUACAGACGAAAACAACACCCAUGGGAAACGAGAGGAACUCGACGAUGACCAUGGGGAAAGAGACCACUCGAUGUUGGGGUCCCUCUGAAUGCAUGCAGCACGGAACGGUCCCGGAAAUCAGUCCCGUCACGCAGACCGGAAGCUGAACGAUGCCACGACGAUGGAUUGACACUAAAUCCCAUCGCCCAUUCUCUUCUUUUUCUCUCUCAAUUAUCCUUUCCGUGUUAACAGGUUACGAGCCAAAAGUAAAACCUUCUCGCUGUCUUAUUUAAUUUUCAGAAAAAAAAAAAAAAAGAAAAAGAAAAAAACAAAUAUUUCCCCGUACGAGUAAUUUUUCCACGAUGCUUAAUAAUUUUUUAUCCACACUGUCCCAUUCUUUUCCAACAUUCCUCCUCGAAAAGGGCCUGCAAUUGUCUCGUCAAAAUGGAACAGUGUAUACCGAUACCGGCGCUUUGUCGGCCCGUUUCCGUCACAGUCCCGUAACCUAAAAUUUAAAGAUCCUCGGGGCUAAUAUUUUCAGGUCGUAACACUCGGUUUAAGACGAUAUUCGGUUUCGAUACAGGCGAACAGGUUCGCCUUGCAAGGUGAGAUGCGUGCUUCUCCCGUUCUUUCAUUCUUUCCUCCACCUUCUCUGUCCGCCGCGUUUUCGUCUCGAAACCAACACGGAGGAGCCAGCCCCCUUAUGUUCGCGUACGCGCACACGUAAAGGCGCUCGUGCAGGUGCACGGUGGGCGUGCGCCGUGCAGCCUGCAAAAGAAUUGCACACGAAGGAAGAGACUCGGCUGUGGGAAAGUAACGCAACACCAUGAGAGCCUGGACCGCCGCUGCCAAACUCCCAUACCGGCGUGUACAGUGGUGCUGGAUGCGCUCGCUGCGUGCACGAGGAUAAAGUGGCUGACCACCGUGGUUCCGAUAUGCUCUCUGCCUUCGCCUUUCCUGUCUGUCAAUCCUGCUUCUCCUCUACGAAUUGCUGAAAAUAUUAUUAAUUAAUUAUAGAAUCUCCCUGAUUAACAAUAAUGAUUUAAUAUGGUAAAUCGUAUAAUUUCGUAGAAUAUAAUUUUAAAAUACGAUCGAGUCUUUAAUAUUUGGAACAAUAUAGGAUUCAAGAAGAUUGAAAUGUCGUUUAAUGAGAAAAGUUUCCAAAAAAUUAUGUUAUCCAAUUUUUCCAUGUCGAAAUUGUCGUUAUAUAAUCUGUAACCAAAAAUUUAUUCUAGGAAUUUUAUUAUCUUACCAAUCCUGUUGCAACAGUUUUCUUUCUUUCAAAAAGUCCUUUGUGAGCGAGCCACGAUAUUUUUAUCGCUUCGAGUGGUAGGACUUUUCAGAUAUGAAAGAGAGAUUUUUACGAUUCCGGGCCUCCUUCACACACCACAAUCCUCCACAUUGUACGGAAUUUAAGUACUUUCUAGGUUGGCCAGGACGCUUUCAUUGGUUAAAAUGUGGAACGUUUGAUGGAAUGGAAGGAGAUCCGAGUCGCGGCGCGCCACGGAGGUGCCUCCAUGAUGAACGAGCGAAUCGAAAGUCACACUCGAGUGCUCUUCUUUUUCGCAUGACAUACAUGUUUCAGACUUAUCUGCCGAUUGCAGCUGCGACGAGUACGAUCUAGUUGCCGAGGCUAAUUGAAUUUUCUCCUUGAGAUCGUCGUGGAACGAAGCCAGACCGCCGAGGGAAAUGCUUCUCACAGGAGGCUCGUUGUUCGCGACAAAAGGGAAGAGUGUUGCACCAGGGAAUCGCGAUAUCACGCGUCUCUGAAGCGACACCGACUUUCGCGUUGCACCGUGUUUACUCCUUCAAGGGUCCAAGGGCCCCCUUAUAAAAUCCAUCUGAUCGUGCCGACAUUGGAAUCGGAAUGCUGCACACAACUGCACCUUCUUGGUCUCGAAUAAUAAAGAACGACAAUAGGUAUAUAGAUAAGAAUAAAGAGAAAAACUUUUAUCGAACAAAUUUUGAUGCAAGGAGAAUAUAAUUUUUAAAUUUGACGUAAGUAUCAUUUUCAAAAUUUCUGAUCGAUGUAUUUCCAACAAUAGUACCUGUAUUGUGUGUACAAGUUUCGCAUUACUGGGCCACCCUACAGAAACUCCCUAAGGAUAUUCCGCUCAGGUAUAAUGAUACGCUUCCUUUUCUUACGAUUCUCCACUCAAACGCCUAGCACCCUAUUCCAACGCUCAUCGAUUUCGUUCGUGUCGGUUCUCUUCGUUGUGCCAUCGUGAACGAUAGAAAUAACGCAGUUCACAGAAAGAAAAAGAGUAUAAAAUAUUUUCUGUGUUUAAAGAUAAUCGUUCAAGGAAUCCAUAAGAUCUUGGAUUCGAGAGAAGAAUAUUCAUAUUACGUGGCGAGAGAAAUCAGUAAAAAUGAUUAUGACCGACAAGAAGGAAAUAGAAUUGGCCGCUUCUCUUCCGGAAUGAAAGGAAAAAUAUAACUUUCGUUCGUAUCUCAUCUUCGAUGGAAACACAUUUGUCCGAUCUAGAUCGUAUCUGGAAUAGUAGAAAUGUUUUUUUUUUUUUUUUUUUUUUUUUAUGGGAAAUAAUCUCAAUUCUUCCGCGAGUACGAACAUUUUUAUAUAACGAAUUAUGAAUAUUAAAUUUAUACCUUUACUCCUACGCGAGUUUAUCGUUUCUCUUCGAAGGAAAUCGACGUGAAAUCUUUUUUUUUUUUUUUCCCUCCUUACAUACGUAUGUAAAAAUCGCCGCCCAUACAUUCGUGUGAUUUCGUAUGAUUACGUAGGAAGCGAUCCUUGUAAUUCCGUUCUUUUGUAAUUCUAUUCCCGAUUUGUCAAUACAGGCGUAUAAAUAAAAUAUCGAAUCUUCUUUAAGUCCAAAGACGAAACUUGCGUAAAAGAUAACUCGUCAUGGGUGAUUUAACUAUCGCGUAGGAGUUUAUCAGAAGCUAGACUGUUGUAACGUUUUUUUAUUUCCUGUUAAAGAAAAAAAAUUGUCUUAGAAAAAAAGAAAAAAAUUCACAUCCUCAAUGAGAAAUAUUUUUAGAAUAUCGAAGUAGAUUUUUCAAGCGUUUAAAAUUUUUUUUUUUUCGAAAGAUUCGCAUACGAUUCGUCCUUUUUUCGAAGAAAAUCAUCCAUAAGUUGUUAAGUUAGUUGCUAUUUAUAUGGAUUUAUAGAGAGCUUGGCAAGUUUUCUGCUAAACGAAAGGAAUAACUAAACGUGGCAGCUAUUAGCGGCUUGACUGCAUUUUUUUAAGAAUCUCGAAAGUUGCGCGUGACAUCCAUUAAUAGGUAGAACUCGUUGUUCCAAAGACGUUUGUAAUUUACACGCUUAGGAAGCUACACGAGACGUUUACAGAAUUUCAAUCGUCAUUUAAGGCGUCACCUGUCACAGGUGAAUUACUUCUCACCCCCUGGAUCGCCUUAUAAAAAAAAAAAGAAAAAAAAUACCAAUGAACACUUGUACCCACGUACUAAAAACCUAUGUAAAAUAUCAAAUCUAGGUAUCUUAUAUCUUUCCCCCUUUUUAUACGGCGUCGUUAAGUUCGUCGAUAUUCAAAUUUGAUCACGUAUCUUCCCGCUUACGAUAAACAUUCUUGUCAAACCAAAAAAAGAAAUCAAAAGAAAUAACUUGUACUAGGAAUAAAUCAUUUACGAUUCUAUUAGAUUGAAUAAUAAAUUUAUAGAUUUAUUAAGAAAUUAAAAAUGAAUAGAAAUUA